GCAGUCGAACGAGAAUCACUGGAAGGAGUUUUCGGACAACGGAAGGUGAGGACAGUGGCGGACGGGUGAGUAACGCGUGAGGAACCUGCCUUUCAGAGGGGGACAACAGUUGGAAACGACUGCUAAUACCGCAUGACACAUAGAGAUCGCAUGGUUUUUAUGUCAAAGAUUUAUCGCUGAAAGAUGGCCUCGCGUCUGAUUAGCUAGUUGGUGAGGUAACGGCCCACCAAGGCGACGAUCAGUAGCCGGACUGAGAGGUUGACCGGCCACAUUGGGACUGAGAUACGGCCCAGACUCCUACGGGAGGCAGCAGUGGGGAAUAUUGGGCAAUGGGCGCAAGCCUGACCCAGCAACGCCGCGUGAAGGAAGAAGGCUUUCGGGUUGUAAACUUCUUUUGUCGGGGACGAGUAGAAGACGGUACCUGGCGAAUAAGCCACGGCUAACUACGUGCCAGCAGCCGCGGUAAUACGUAGGUGGCAAGCGUUGUCCGGAUUUACUGGGUGUAAAGGGCGUGUAGCCGGGAAGGCAAGUCAGAUGUGAAAUCCACGGGCUUAACUCGUGAACUGCAUUUGAAACUACUUUUCUUGAGUAUCGGAGAGGCAAUCAGAAUUCCUAGUGUAGCGGUGAAAUGCGUAGAUAUUAGGAGGAACACCAGUGGCGAAAGCGGAUUGCUGGACGACAACUGA
rnacentral:rRNA from 1 species